AGCUUUUAACGCAGAAUCCAUUUUAUUACCAUCCACCAACAGAGGAGGGGAGAGAAACAGUUGCAACUUGCAUAGUCCUAGAGAGAGAGAGAGAGAGAGAAGAGGACGAGCAACAAGAAGCACAAGUUGUAUUUGGACGUGGAGGAGUAAGGCCCUUAUGUUAUCCUCCUCCUCCUCCUCCUUUUUAUGACCGACUAGUUCCACUUCCACACUCAAUUCCGCCAUCCAAUCCGACCUGAAAGCUCAAAUCUUUCUGCAUUUUCCCCAUCUGGGUCUCUCAAUGGCGACUUGGGUCCUCUCAGAAUGCACCCUAAAACCUCUUCCUAAAUUCUAUCCACAUCCCAGAAACGCCCACCCGUCAAAACCCACCGUUCCUUCCUCCCUCCGGCCGUUUCCCACCUCCAAAAGCACCAAUCCUUUUGGGUUCAGAGAGGCAAAAUGGUCACUCAAUGUGAGUGCCCCAUUGAGGGUCCCAUCCGUGGACGGGGAAGAUAAUGGGAGAGUGAGCACACAUGGGGUUCGAGACGGUGGUGGAUUCGACCCCGGUGCCCCUCCCCCCUUCAAUUUGGGUGACAUCAGGACUGCCAUUCCAAAGCAUUGCUGGGUUAAGGACCCCUGGAGAUCUAUGAGCUAUGUGGUCAGAGAUGUGGCGGUGGUUUUUGGGAUGGCGGCUGUUGCAGCCUACUUUAACAAUUGGGUUGUUUGGCCUCUCUACUGGGUUGCUCAGGGCACCAUGUUCUGGGCUCUCUUUGUUCUUGGACAUGAUUGUGGCCACGGAAGCUUCUCGAAUAAUCCGAAACUGAUAGCGUGGUUGGUCAUCUUCUUCAUUCUUCAAUCCUUGUCCCAUACCAUGGAUGGAGAAUUAGCCACAGAACUCAUCAUCAGAACCAUGGACACGUCGAAAAUGACGAGUCUUGGCAUCCGUUGCCUGAGAAAAUUUACAAGAGUUUGGAUAAGAUGACUCAGAUAUUUAGAUUCACCUUGCCAUUCCCCAUGCUUGCUUAUCCUUUCUAUCUGUGGAAUCGAAGUCCGGGAAAGAAUGGCUCUCACUACAAUCCAAACAGCGAACUGUUUCUCCCUAAUGAAGGGAAAGAUAUCAUUACUUCCACUGCCUGUUGGACAGCAAUGGCUGCGCUGCUAGUCGGUCUGUCUUUCACAAUGGGUCCUGUCCAAGUGCUUAAGCUCUACGGUGUUCCAUACUGGAUGUUUGUCUUGUGGUUGGACUUAGUGACUUACUUGCAUCACCACGGCCACGAGGACAAGCUUCCAUGGUACCGUGGGAAGGAAUGGAGUUACCUAAGAGGAGGAUUGACAACCAUCGAUCGCGAUUACGGUUGGAUCAACAACAUCCAUCAUGACAUCGGGACUCAUGUUAUACAUCAUCUCUUCCCUCAAAUCCCACAUUACAACUUAAUAGAAGCAACGGAGGCGGCUAAGCCCGUGCUUGGGAAGUACUACAGAGAACCGAAGAAAUCGGGGCCUCUCCCGCUUCACUUACUGGGAGUCCUUGUAAGAAGCUUUAAACAAGAUCAUUACGUGAGUGAUACAGGGGAUGUUGUAUAUUAUCAAACCGAUAAGGAACUCGCCGGAUCAGCAGUCCCAGAAUGAAGCCGUGAAGUCUUAAGGUUCAACGAUCGAAGCGUUACAGCGUACCAAAGGAUUAAAUUCUUUGUGACCACUUGCUUUAACCCCCGGACAGUUUCCCGGCUCUGCAUUACUAAUCUGCCUUUGGCAGCCAUUCUUUUUCUUAAUGUACUCUGUAUAAAGAGCACGAGGUGCCUUGCAUAGAUACAUUGCAGACUGUUGAAUUGUAACACGUGGGAAUAUGUAUAGUGAAGUAGAAUGAUUUGAAUGAAAAGGGUUGAGUCUUGAAAUUUCCGAA